rnacentral:rRNA from 1 species
GUGCCUCGAGAUGGCCGGUGCUUUUACUUUGAAAAAAUUAGAGUGCUCAACGCAGGCGAGUCGCCUGAAUAAACUUGCAUGGAAUAAUAGAACAAGACCUCGUUUCUGUUCUGUUGGUUUUUGGAAUACGAGGUAAUGAUUAAGAGGGACGGACGGGGGCAUUCGUAUUGCGGCGCUAGAGGUGAAAUUCUUGGACCGUCGCAAGACGAACUACUGCGAAAGCAUUUGCCAAGAAUGUUUUCAUUGAUCAAGAACGAAAGUCAGAGGUUCGAAGGCGAUCAGAUACCGCCCUAGUUCUGACCAUAAACGAUGCCAACCAGCGAUCCGCCUGAGUUACUCAAAUGACUCGGCGGGCAGCUUCCGGGAAACCAAAGU